UGUCUUUAAAUAAGAUUGUUCUUAUAGACAGGUGCAAAAAAUAAAUCCUCCUUUGCAGCCUAGAGCUCAUUGUUCAAUAUGAGUUUUGAUACAUACCAGAAGGAGUAUC
rnacentral:snoRNA from 1 species